AACGAACGCUGGCGGCAUGCCUAACACAUGCAAGUCGAACGAAGGCUUCGGCCUUAGUGGCGCACGGGUGCGUAACGCGUGGGAAUCUGCCCUUUGGUCCGGAAUAACAGCUGGAAACGGCUGCUAAUACCGGAUGAUGACGAAAGUCCAAAGAUUUAUCGCCAGAGGAUGAGCCCGCGUUGGAUUAGGUAGUUGGUGGGGUAAAGGCCUACCAAGCCGACGAUCCAUAGCUGGUCUGAGAGGAUGAUCAGCCACACUGGGACUGAGACACGGCCCAGACUCCUACGGGAGGCAGCAGUGGGGAAUAUUGGACAAUGGGCGCAAGCCUGAUCCAGCAAUGCCGCGUGAGUGAUGAAGGCCCUAGGGUUGUAAAGCUCUUUUACCCGGGAAGAUAAUGACUGUACCGGGAGAAUAAGCCCCGGCUAACUCCGUG
rnacentral:rRNA from 1 species